UACGAAGGGGGCUAGCGUUGCUCGGAAUCACUGGGCGUAAAGCGCACGUAGGCGGAUUGUUAAGUCGGGGGUGAAAUCCUGGAGCUCAACUCCAGAACUGCCUUCGAUACUGGCGAUCUUGAGUCCGGGAGAGGUGAGUGGAACUCCGGGUGUAGAGGUGAAAUUCGUAGAUAUUCGGAAGAACACCAGUGGCGAAGGCGGCUCACUGGCCCGGUACUGACGCUGAGGUGCGAAAGCGUGGGGAGCAAACAGG
rnacentral:rRNA from 1 species